rnacentral:rRNA from 1 species
UAAGAGGUCCCGCCUGCCCUGUGACUAUACGUUUAACGGCCGCGGUAUUUUGACCGUGCGAAGGUAGCGCAAUCACUUGUCUCUUAAAUGGGGACCUGUAUGAAUGGCAUAACGAGGGUUUAACUGUCUCCUUUUCCAAGUUAAUGAAAUUGAUCCCCCCGUGCAGAAGCGGGGAUAAAGACAUAAGACGAGAAGACCCUAUGGAGCUUUAGGCAACAAUCAGAUCGUACUAAACACCCCUCAUAAAGGAGAAAAAAUAUACGAAACCUGACCCAAUGCCUUUGGUUGGGGCGACCGCGGGGAAACAAAAAACCCCCAUGGGGAAUGGGACUACUAAUCCUCCAAAAAAGAGCCCCCGCUCUAAAAAACAGAACAUCUGACCUAUAUGAUCCGGCAAAGCCGAUCAACGAACCGAGUUACCCUAGGGAUAACAGCGCAAUCCCCUUAUAGAGUCCAUAUCGACAAGGGGGUUUACGACCUCGAUGUUGGAUCAGGAUAUCCUAAUGGUGCAGCCGCUAUUAAGGG